GCUUAAAUUUAUGAAAUAUAAUUAAAUUUUUUAUUUUAUAUCAUGUAAAAAUAUUAUAAAAACAUAGUUGUAUAGUUUUUAAAAUAUUAUUUGCAUUAAAUAAAGCGGAUGAAAUAUACAAAUAUCUAUAAAAAUUCACAAACAUAUGUAUAUAUUUGGAUUUUUAAAUAUAUGUAUCUUUUCAGAAGAAAAAAACAAAUCGAUAAAAUAAAUAUUCAUAAAAUAAAGAAAAAAUCUCAAAUUUUGAAAUUUUUGAUAGUAUUUGUUCCAUGUCCAUUUUUUGUAGAUCAUGUUUAAAAAUCUAAUAUAAAAUAAAAUAAUUUUAUCUACAUUGAUUAUUUUAUAUUUUGUAUACUCUUUUGUUAUAGUUAAAUUGUGUUUAUGUAUACAAUAAAUAAUAUCAUUUUUUAUUUUUCUAAUUUAUGUGAAAUUUUUGAAUGGGAUCAUUUUUGGGGUCAAAUAUACUGAGAGAUUCAACUAAUAUUUGUUGGUCUUGAGUCAAAAAUCAAAGCUCGUGUUUGAGUGUCUUGCUCGGUCAAAUGUCGUAACCGUUAGAUCUGUGGUUUUGACAGGAGCUUUGACCAACGGUAAUGAUGUUUAUACACGUGUGAGUUAAGAAUCCAGAAGCGUGUGUAUAAUAUGGGACCAAUAUUAUACACGAGGGGCCUCCGAUCUCGUCGAGGGCAUAAUAGGUAUCUUAAUGGGGUUUUAAAGAAAUAACAGCAUUUAAUUAAAUCAAAACUAAAAUUAACUCUAAUAAUCGAUCCUUAAUCUGUGCUUUUCGGCAUCGUUUCUUAGCCAAAGUAAAAGGCCACGUGUCAGCAUGUAGGCAAACCUGAAUAAUAAAUGCUUUUUCUUUUUCUUUUUCUCUCUUUUUUCUUUUCGACUUUGUUCUCUCCGCCUUCAGUUUCUCUUCUUUUUCUCUUCGUCUUCUCUCCGUCGGGGCCUUCAAUUGUUUGUUCACUCAGUUCCGUUUUGGAUGAUCUAAGGCAGAGUUUGUCGAAAACUGAGUGGGUGGAGGAGAGGUUUAUCUCUCUCUCGAUUCCUCUCUCGAAACGGUUCUCUCCCUCAGUUUAUCUCUCUCUCAAUUCCUCUCUCUGGAUUCCUCUCCCGAAACGGUUCUCUCCCUCAGUUCAACCAUUUCAGCUUAUCUCUUUCUCGAUUCCUCUCCCGAAACGAUUCUCUCCCUCUCGGUCGCUCUGCUCUCCUCCGCGACGUCACCCGCGGUGGCUCUUGUCAGCGACCUCGUUGUCGUCGGCGACCUCUCUCUCGUGCUUUCACUGUUCCGGUGAAGUCUUAUACUCAUGAGAUUGUUACGAUUUGGUAUAGAGCUCCUGAGGUUUCGGUUUGUAUUUGCUAAGUAAUGGGUACUGAGGAGAAACCUCUUAAUCCUCUUGAUUCAAGCGAUGAUGAUUUUGCUCCUUCAUAUCAGUCGAUUUGUCUUGAAAGUCCCUGAAGAAGAUCAACACUCGUUUCAGAGGAUUCUGUUUCUGGUGAAGUAUGCUUACUGGUGAUGGUUGUUGUGUCGCGGACUGAUACUCAGGCAUAUGUCACGGACUGAUACUCAUGCAUAUGUCACUUUGUACGAGUGUGUUCUCACGGGCCACUCUCUUUUUUAUCUCACUUUUACUCUUGUGUAUUAUGUGACUUGUAUACUGUCGGAUAAGCUGGUGGAUAAGCUGGCACGUGGUGCUCGGAAUCUGCCUUCUGCUAUGGUUUAUGUUGAUUCAAUUCCCCCGAGGUGGCUAACGGGUCUGGAAUCUGCUUAGGUUACUAGCCUUUUGUUGUAAAAAAAAAAAAAAGAAUCAAACAUUUCUUGUACUCUUGUGCUUUUGAAGUCACAGACUUGUAAAGAAUCAAAGUCGAUUACAUGUAAUGAAUCAAACAUGCUUGUGCCUAUA